CCUAUACUAAAAGGUGAAUAUGAAGAGCAUACAGCAUGCCACGUCAGACAAUAAAAUCAUUCAAUCAUAAAGCUUUAAAUCGCCACGUCAUUUUCACUUAUGUCGAGUGAAGCCCGAAACUGGCCCAAUACAAGCCGUGUCUAGCCUAAGCCCUAAUUUGUCUGAAGCGUAAAGAGUUCUUCCGACUCUUCCACUUCGUCUACCUGAUUUCUCUGUACCUCUGUUACGGCUUGCUCCUCUCUUCUUUAUUGUUUUGUCCUGCCUCCCUCUUCAGACAACACUCGACUCUUCCACUUCGUCUCCACCGUCUCGGUUGAUCUGUAAUCUUCGUCUUCACCUGAAUGCUUUGAAAUCUCUUCCUUGGAUAUGAUGCAACAGCCGAGCAUCUUUCCAUCCUAUAUGUGCAAGGGAGGUAGGGAAUAGGCUAGAAAUCUGGGGAAAACAUGGGUGUGACACUGUUGAACUGCGAGCGUUCUGCUCGAAGCAUUCAGAUAUUCAAGAUAGUGGAAGGCCUAUAAAUGGUGGAAAUAUUAAUGCAGCUGAUCCCCCUGUAUGUCAUCUUCCAACAGAAUCUAUAAGAGUUCGCCUAAUUAAUUAAUGAUGAGACGGGAGUUUAAGUAGGAGCACAAGGUACAGGUUCUGAUAUUUCGAGAAACAGUGAGUUGCAAGAACUGGAAUCACCGCGUUCAGAAUUUGACAGAUCUGCAACAAACAUUGUUGAAUCAGGGAUGACUGAGAGGAGCACCGAUAAUGAAAAAAAUCGAUCCGAGUCUCUUAGUUUUGUACUGAUUCUGAAAAAGUUGAUCAACCUGGGGAAAGUAGAUGUGAAGGAUGUGGUUGCAGAGAUUGGGGCCAAUCCUGAUGCUUUGAAUGCCAAACUUAUGGUAACACUUAGGAUUGAGCCUAGGGUAAGAAGCAUAGUCAGAGGAGUGAGGAGCCUUGGUCUCUGAUGCGGUGGAGGUAGAGAUCCGGCUGCCAUUGUGAUUCUCUUGCUCACUCAUGAUUAAAGACCCAAUCUUAUGUUACGAUUCCGCGAUUCUUCCUCACCUUCUUCGAUACGAUCUCAUGUUAAUUGUGCCUCGACACAAAAAAAAUAUUAUUUUCUUUUCUUUUUCUUUUUGGUUUAGAAUAACUAAAUGAAUUAAAAAUAUUUGGCAGGGUUACACUGGCAUUAUUAAUUUGUUUGUAUAAUCUUUUUUGUAGUUUCUUUGUUACUCGAUCUAUGAUGUAUCCUGCUGUCAACGCAGGGGCACGCCCACCGUGGCGAGAAAAAGGCAGGAGCCUCAGGCCUGCACUUCAAUAAAAAAAUUUAAGGCUCCACUGACUGUACUGAAGUGUCGGGCAGCUAACUGUACUGAAGGCAUUGUGAUGUUAGAUUCUGACAUUGUAGAUCCUGCUGAAAUUUGCACUGGUAAUGGUUUUGUAGUUGAUGAAGCUAAAGCUAAUAAGCCAGUUUUGAAAAAGAAUUCACUGGGAAUUUGCCAUCUGAUCAUUCUCCACAAGAAUAGACCGAACUGGACCACAACCAAACGCAUGGCUCCAUCCUACUGCCACACAGUCAGCAGCAGCGUUUCUGCAUCUCCCUGUCGAGGAUGAGAUAUGGGGAAGAAAUGGUGGUGGUCAAAGAAGUGAUGGAAGAUGUGAUUUGGUUCCGUGGGCCAACAAAUUUGUCACUAUCGCAUCUAUGCACUGCAAGCUCCUUAUGUGAGAAGACUAGAAGUGACACAGCUUCUUAUAUGAGAAGCCUACCAAUCCAAAACCAACAUGGAGGUGUUGUGAGAGGUGGUUACUUAAGGCAGAGGCCAAGCUGGUGAUGGCCAAGGGAAUAAAGGUGGUCAAACUAGAGAUUGUGGUGCCUAAAAUUGGGAUUGAAAAAUGGAAUAAAAAGCUCUGACAUGGUAUUAGGAAGAUCAUGUAGAUAACAAUAGCUGAAGGUUUCUACAGUUGUGGAUCAUCAGGUAAACACAGUCCUAUCUCUCUAGGAGCACCCGGAGCUAAAGCCUUUCUUGCUCAGACUUGUGCAGUGAUCUUUUUCGUAAUUCAGUGGCUUAUUGGCUACAUGACAAUUGUU